UAAUGAAUUGAUGAGAAAUGCAACGAAGAUCAAGUGUCCAUCUCAAAAUGCUGCUUUUACAAAAGCAGAAUAAAGAAAUGAAAUGAAAAUAA
ensembl:misc_RNA